rnacentral:rRNA from 1 species
CUCUUACCCAUGUCUUUUGAGUACCUUCGUUUCCUCGGCGGGUCCGCCCGCCGAUUGGACACAUUUAAACCCUUUGUAGUUGCAAUCAGCGUCUGAAAAAACUUAAUAGUUACAACUUUCAACAACGGAUCUCUUGGUUCUGGCAUCGAUGAAGAACGCAGCGAAAUGCGAUAAGUAGUGUGAAUUGCAGAAUUCAGUGAAUCAUCGAAUCUUUGAACGCACAUUGCGCCCCUUGGUAUUCCAUGGGGCAUGCCUGUUCGAGCGUCAUUUGUACCUUCAAGCUUUGCUUGGUGUUGGGUGUUUGUCUCGCCUCUGCGCGCAGACUCGCCUCAAAACAAUUGGCAGCCGGCGUAUUGAUUUCGGAGCGCAGUACAUCUCGCGCUUUGCACUCAUAACGACGACGUCCAAAAAGUACAUUUUUUACACUCUUGACCUCGGAUCAGGUAGGGAUACCCGCUGAACUUAAGCAUAUCAAUAAGCG